GUGGCGGACGGGUGAGUAACGCGUAAAGAAUUUGCCCUUCAGACUGGGACAACUAACCGAAAGGUUAGCUAAUACCGGAUAUUAUGAGACCUUGGCAUCAAGGACUUAUGAAAGCUAUAUGCGCUGGAGGAGAACUUUGCGUCCCAUUAGGUAGUUGGUAGGGUAAUGGCCUACCAAGCCGACGAUGGGUAGCCGGCCUGAGAGGGUGAACGGCCACAAGGGGACUGAGACACGGCCCUUACUCCUACGGGAGGCAGCAGUGGGGAAUAUUGGACAAUGGACCAAAAGUCUGAUCCAGCAAUUCUGUGUGCACGAUGAAGGUCUUCGGAUUGUAAAGUGCUUUCAGGUGGGAAGAAGAAAGUGACGGUACCACCAGAAGAAGCGACGGCUAAAUACGUGCCAGCAGCCGCGGUAAUACGUAUGUCGCAAGCGUUAUCCGGAAUUAUUGGGCG
rnacentral:rRNA from 1 species